rnacentral:rRNA from 1 species
CAGCAGCCGCGGUAAUACCGGCGGCCCGAGUGGCGGUCACUAUUAUUGGGCUUAAAACGUCCGUAGCCGGGUUGGGAAGUCCUCCGGGAAAUCUGGCCGCUUAACGGUCAGAAUGCCGGAGGAUACUCCCAGCCUAGGGAGCGGGAGAGGCCGAGGGGAUUCCCGGGGUGGGGGUGAAAUCCUAUAAUCCCGGGAGGACCACCUGUGGCGAAGGCGCUCGGCUGGAACGCGUCCGACGGUGAGGGACGAAGGCCAGGGGAGCAAACCGGAUUAGAUACCCGGGUAGUCCUGGCUGUAAACGAUGCGGACUUUGUGUCGGACAAGCUAUGAGCUUGUCCGGUGCCGGAGGGAAACCGUUAAGUCCGCCGCCUGGGGAGUACGGCCGCAAGGCUGAAACUUAAAGGAAUUGGCGGG